rnacentral:rRNA from 1 species
UUGACUGGGGCGGUCUCCUCCCAAAGAGUAACGGAGGAGCACGAAGGUUGGCUAAGCAUGGUCGGACAUCAUGCGGUUAGUGCAAAGGCAUAAGCCAGCUUGACUGCGAGAGUGACGGCUCGAGCAGGUACGAAAGUAGGUCUUAGUGAUCCGGUGGUUCUGAAUGGAAGGGCCAUCGCUCAACGGAUAAAAGGUACUCCGGGGAUAACAGGCUGAUACCGCCCAAGAGUUCAUAUCGACGGCGGUGUUUGGCACCUCGAUGUCGGCUCAUCACAUCCUGGGGCUGAAGUAGGUCCCAAGGGUACGGCUGUUCGCCGUUUAAAGUGGUACGCGAGCUGGGUUUAGAACGUCGUGAGACAGUUCGGUCCCUAUCUGCCGUGGGCGUUGGAAGAUUGAAAGGGGCUGCUCCUAGUACGAGAGGACCGGAGUGGACGCACCACUGGUGUUCGGGUUGUCAUGCCAAUGGCAUUGCCCGGUAGCUAAGUGCGGAAGAGAUAACCGCUGAAAGCAUCUAAGCGGGAAACUUGCCUUGAGAUGAGUCUUCCCUGACCCUUUAAGGGUCCUAAAGGAACGUUUAAGACUAAGACGU